rnacentral:ncRNA from 1 species
UUAAUGAAGUUGCUGAGCAGGACAGCAAUGCUCUGCACGUACAGCAUGCUUAGGGACUGAUCCAUGAGGGUGGAUCAAGGGGCGUGUCCCAACGUUCGAUUACAGUGGGAGUGUGGGCGAUAAUCCCCUCCUACCUGGGCGUCGACGUCGUUUCUAGAGUUUACUGCCAGUUCCAUCCGGCAGGUUCUGACUACGGUCUCUCAGGGUUCGCUCGGGGACCUCAUAUCAGGACAGGGCAUGCGAAGGCACCCUCCGGCUCUUGGUGUUUAGUGAUUCGGCUGGGUUUCGUAGUAUUCGGUGCCGGUCGCUUUUGGUUCGAGGUUUCGUCAGGAUCGUGUAGCGACGAUAUACAGUCGCACGGUCCCGCUAUGUCCGUGUCUGAGUUUCUCGGUUGCUGGGUCGGUAUUUCUCAGUUUCGCCGGUCGAUUUGUAGUCGUAGUCGCUUUUCCAUCUUGCGGCAAUCGUUGGACACUCCUCAAGUCCCUCGCUUGUUGUGCGUGUAUCGAGACCCCGUUUCCCUGCAGCUCCAUCGCAGGGCGGGGUACAGGCGCUGACUAGACCCGUCCCACGUAGCAUCCGGAAGCUUGGCCCCAACAGAGACCAUGCCCGAAAGAGUGUCCAAUGACAGGCGUAGGGGGCCUGUCGGUUUCGUCCAGUCAGUCGCCCUUCAAUUCGAACCCCCUGUCGGCCUCGUGCGCUGUUGGGGCCUUACCCUCGGCUUAUGAUAGUGCUUGAUCCAGGUCACUAUUUGGCGAGCGCAGUGGGACCGCCCAUGUUAAAUUAACAAGGAAAGAUAGCGAAAGCAAGUUGGACUAGCCAAAUGCCUCGUCAUCUAAUUAGUGACGUGCAUGAAUGGAUCAAUGAGAUUCCCACUGUCUAGCAAAACCACAGCCAAGGGAACGGGCUUGGACGGAUCAGCGCGGAAGGAAGACCCUGUUGAGCUUGACUCUAGUCCGGUUUUGUGAGGGCACACAGUAGGAUGAUGUUAUUUCAAUCUCAGAGAAAGUGAAACCCAAAAAAGGAAGCUACCUACUGACCUAGACAACAGUUCCCCUGAAGGACCAGAUGACCCUGCCUUUAUUUCAAGCUUGGAAGAUGAGGCAAAACACUAAGCUACGACCCCUGAAGAGUCCCAGGAAAAUUGUAUUCAGAAAAAACUUGCAAGGUGUUCAUAUUAUAUUUUCAAAAGGUGCUGUUGAUGCAGAAGGCAAGAAUUGUUUACAUCUGGCUUUAGAAAGAGAUGCAUUUUAUCAUGAGGAGGAACAGAUAGACAUUAUUGGAAGUUGAGGCAAAACACUAAGCUACAACCCCUGAAGAGUCCCAGGAAAAUUGUAUUCAGAAAAAACUUGCAAGGUGUUCAUAUAUUUUCAAAUAACGUCGGGCAGAAUGCAAUGUCAAGCCAGCGACAAUUUUACCUUCGGUAGCUGUGUAGAUGAGCGUCUAAUAUACACCGAAGAAAUGUGGUUUACCACAAACAAUGUCGGAGAGGUUGAAAUGUAUUCUGGAAGGUACCAAUAUCUUCAUCAAAGUUAAACACCAAUGACGAAGACCGACAGCGACCGGCCAUAAAGAAACAAUGGCUGAAAUGCAAAGAAGUACAGGAAUCUGAUGCUGAUGAACCAGAUCCGGCCCCUCUUGUUCCUUAUCAAUGAAGUUUGAAUAAUCUUCCCGCAUGAUUAAUCACUCUUUAAAUUUUGCAUGUAAUCCUGACAUGAAUG